CGAGUCGAAUGUAGCAAUACAUGGCGAACUGCUCAGUAACACGUGGACAACCUGCCCUUAGGACGGGGAUAAACCCGGGAAACUGGGUAUAAUACCCGAUAGGUCUCGAUUGCUGGAAUGCAUCGAGAUUUAAAGCUCCGGCGCCUAAGGAUGGGUCUGCGGCCUAUCAGGUAGUAGUGGGUGUAGCGUACCUACUAGCCUACGACGGGUACGGGUUGUGAGAGCAAGAGCCCGGAGAUGGAUUCUGAGACACGAAUCCAGGCCCUACGGGGUGCAGCAGGCGCGAAAACUUUACAAUGCUGGCAACAGCGAUAAGGGAACCUCGAGUGCCAGGUUACAAAUCUGGCUGUCGAGAUGCCUAAAAAGCAUUUCAUAGCAAGGGCCGGGCAAGACCGGUGCCAGCCGCCGCGGUAACACCGGCGGCUCGAGUGGUAACCGUUAUUAUUGGGUCUAAAGGGUCUGUAGCCGGCCGGAUAAGUCUCUUGAGAAAUCUGGCAGCUUAACUGUCAGGCUUUCAGGAGAUACUGUCUGGCUCGAGGCCGGGAGAGGUGAGAGGUACUUCAGGGGUAGGGGUGAAAUCUUGUAAUCCUUGAAGGACCACCAGUGGCGAAGGCGUCUCACCAGAACGGACCUGACGGCAAGGGACGAAAGCUAGGGGCACGAACCGGAUUAGAUACCCGGGUAGUCCUAGCCGUAAACGAUACUCGCUAGGUGUCGGCCACGGUGCGACCGUUGUCGGUGCCGUAGGGAAGCCGUGAAGCGAGCCACCUGGGAAGUACGGCCGCAAGGCUGAAACUUAAAGGAAUUGGCGGGGGAGCACCACAACGGGUGGAGCUUGCGGUUUAAUUGGAUUCAACGCCGGG
rnacentral:rRNA from 1 species